rnacentral:rRNA from 1 species
GACGAACGCUGGCGGCGUGCUUAACACAUGCAAGUCGAACGGAAAGGCCCCUUUGGGGGUACUCGAGUGGCGAACGGGUGAGGAACGCGUGAGUAACCUGCCCUUGACUUCGGGAUAACUUCAGGAAACUGGGGCUAAUACCGGAUAGGAAUCCUUGCUGCAUGGUGGGGGUUGGAAAGCUUCGGCGGUUUUGGAUGGACUCGCGGCUUAUCAGCUUGUUGGUGGGGUAGUGGCUUACCAAGGCUUUGACGGGUAGCCGGCCUGCGAGGGCGACCGGCCACAUUGGGACUGAGAUACGGCCCAGACUCCUACGGGAGGCAGCAGUGGGGAAUAUUGCACAAUGGGCGGAAGCCUGAUGCAGCAACGCCGCGUGCGGGAUGACGGCCUUCGGGUUGUAAGCCGCUUUCAGCAGGGGCGAAGCUUGUGGUGACGGUACCUGCAGAAGAAGCACCGGCUAACUACGUG